GACGAACGCUGGCGGCGUGCUUAACACAUGCAAGUCGAACGGAAAGGCCCUGCUUUUGCGGGGUGCUCGAGUGGCGAACGGGUGAGUAUCACGUGAGUAACCUGCCCUUGACUUUGGGAUAACUCCAGGAAACUGGGGCUCAUAUCGGAUAGGAGCUCCUGCUGCAUGGUGGGGGUUGGUAAGUUUCGGCGGUUGGGGGUUGACUCGCGGCUUAUCAGCUUGUUGGUGGGGUUGUGGCUUACCAAGGUUUUGACGGGUAGCAGGCCUGAGCGGGUGACCGGCCACAUUGAGACUGAGGUACGGCCCAGACUCCUACUGGAGGCAACAGUGGGAAAGAGUGCACAAGGGGCGGAAGCCGGGUGCAGAAACGCCUCGGACGGGAUGACUGCCUUCGGGGUGUAAACCGCUUGCGCCUGUGACGAAGCGUGAGUGACGGUAAUGGGUAAAGAAGCACCGGCUAACUACGUG
rnacentral:rRNA from 1 species